GACGAACGCUGGCGGCGUGCUUAACACAUGCAAGUCGAACGGAAAGGCCCUGCUUUUGUGGGGUGCUCGAGUGGCGAACGGGUGAGUAACACGUGAGUAACCUGCCCUUGACUUUGGGAUAACUUCAGGAAACUGGGGCUAAUACCGGAUAGGAGCUCCUGCUGCAUGGUGGGGGUUGGAAAGUUUCGGCGGUUGGGGAUGGACGCGCGGCUUAUCAGCUUGUUGGUGGGGUAGUGGCGUACCAAGGCUUUGACGGGUAGCCGGCCUGAGAGGGUGAACGGCCACAUUGGGACUGAGAUACGGCCCAGACUCCUACGGGAGGCAGCAGUGGGGAAUAUUGCACAAUGGGCGGAAGCCUGAUGCAGCAACGCCGCGUGCGGGAUGACGGCCUUCGGGUUGUAAACCGCUUUCGCCUGUGACGAAGCGUGAGUGACGGUAAUGGGUAAAGAAGCACCGGCUAACUACGUG
rnacentral:rRNA from 1 species